rnacentral:misc_RNA from 1 species
ACAGGGUGGACUAUCUAGAAGACAGCUUCAGAGGAAGAUCGAAGUUCGAUAGGCCAGUUCCUUCAGCAGAUUGGGCCCUUAGAGACAAUGGAAGGGAUGAUUUCAUCACAGAGAGGAAGGGAUUUGAAAGAAGGCCACCAUCCCCACCACUGUCGUUGCUUCCUCAGCGUGGGCGCUGGGCGCGUGAAGUGAGGGAGAGGAGCCGUUCCCCAAUCAGAGGUCCCGUCAGAUCUCCAUUAAGAGUCUCGCUACGGUCUCCAUUAAGUAGUGGCCUUCCACCAAAAGACUUCCGUAGAGAUGUUUUCGUUGAAAGGGAG